rnacentral:rRNA from 1 species
AUUGAACGCUGGCGGCAGGCCUAACACAUGCAAGUCGAACGAGUGGCGGACGGGUGUGUAACGUCUGGGAAACUGCCUGACGGAGGGGGAUAACUACUGGUAACGGUAGCUAAUACCGCAUACCAUCAGAUGUGCCCAGGUGGGAUUAGCUUGUUUGUGGGGUAACGGCUCACCAAGGCGACGAUCCCUAGCUGGUCUGAGAGGAUGACCAGCCACACUGGAACUGAGAGACGGUACAGACGCCUACGGGAGGCGGGAGUGGGGAAUAUUGCACAAUGGGCGCAAGCCUGGUGGGGCCAUGCCGAGUGUAUGAAGAAGGCCUUCGGGUUGUAAAGUACUUUCAGCGGGGAGGCGUUACCAGAAGAAGAAGCACCGGCUAACUCCGUGCCAGCAGCCGCGGUAAUUC